GCUCUUCCGAUCUGGCGUGACGACGAGGCACUACGGUGCUGAAGCAACAAAUGCCCUGCUUCCAGGAAAAGCCUCUAAGCAUCAGGUAACAUCAAAUCGUACCCCAAACCGACACAGGUGGUCAGGUAGAGAAUACCAAGGCGCUUGAGAGAACUCGGGUGAAGGAACUAGGCAAAAUGGUGCCGUAACUUCGGGAGAAGGCACGCUGACACGUAGGUGAAGUGAUUUACUCAUGGAGCUGAAGUCAGUCGAAGAUACCAGCUGGCUGCAACUGUUUAUUAAAAACACAGCACUGUGCAAACACGAAAGUGGACGUAUACGGUGUGACGCCUGCCCGGUGCCGGAAGGUUAAUUGAUGGGGUCAGCGCAAGCGAAGCUCCUGAUCGAAGCCCCGGUAAACGGCGGCCGUAACUAUAACGGUCCUAAGGUAGCGAAAUUCCUUGUCGGGUAAGUUCCGACCUGCACGAAUGGCGUAAUGAUGGCCAGGCUGUCUCCACCCGAGACUCAGUGAAAUUGAACUCGCUGUGAAGAUGCAGUGUACCCGCGGCAAGACGGAAAGACCCCGUGAACCUUUACUAUAGCUUGACACUGAACAUUGAGCCUUGAUGUGUAGGAUAGGUGGGAGGCUUUGAAGUGUGGACGCCAGUCUGCAUGGAGCCGACCUUGAAAUACCACCCUUUAAUGUUUGAUGUUCUAACGUGGACCCGUAAUCCGGGUUGCAGACAGUGUCUGGUGGGUAGUUUGACUGGGGCGGUCUCCUCCUAAAGAGUAACGGAGGAGCACGAAGGUUGGCUAAUCCUGGUCGGACAUCAGGAGGUUAGUGCAAUGGCAUAAGCCAGCUUGACUGCGAGCGUGACGGCGCGAGCAGGUGCGAAAGCAGGUCAUAGUGAUCCGGUGGUUCUGAAUGGAAGGGCCAUCGCUCAACGGAUAAAAGGUACUCCGGGGAUAACAGGCUGAUACCGCCCAAGAGUUCAUAUCGACGGCGGUGUUUGGCACCUCGAUGUCGGCUCAUCACAUCCUGGGGCUGAAGUAGGUCCCAAGGGUAUGGCUGUUCGCCAUUUAAAGUGGUACGCGAGCUGGGUUUAGAACGUCGUGAGACAGUUCGGUCCCUAUCUGCCGUGGGCGCUGGAGAACUGAGGGGGGCUGCUCCUAGUACGAGAGGACCGGAGUGGACGCAUCACUGGUGUUCGGGUUGUCAUGCCAAUGGCACUGCCCGGUAGCUAAAUGCGGAAGAGAUAAGUGCUGAAAGCAUCUAAGCACGAAACUUGCCCCGAGAUGAGUUCUCCCUGAGACUUAGAGUCUCCUGAAGGAACGUUGAAGACGACGACGUUGAUAGGCCGGGUGUGUAAGCGCAGCGAUGCGUUGAGCUAACCGGUACUAAUGAACCGUGAGGCUUAACCUU
rnacentral:rRNA from 1 species